UACAGAGACUGCAAGCGUUAUUCGGAUUCACUGGGCGUAAAGGGUGCGCAGGCGGCCAUGUGAGUGAGGCGUGAAAGCCUGGAGCUUAACUCCAGAAUUGCACCUCAAACUACAUGGCUAGAGCAUUGGAGAGGGUAGCAGAAUUCAUGGUGUAGCAGUGAAAUGCGUAGAUAUCAUGAGGAAUACCAGAGGCGAAGGCGGCUACCUGGACAAUUGCUGACGCUCAGGCACGAAAGCGUGGGGAGCAAAAGGG
rnacentral:rRNA from 1 species